rnacentral:rRNA from 1 species
GCCAGCCCGCUCAGAACUACAAAGGAAUUGACGGGGACCCGCACAAGCGGUGGAUGAUGUGGAUUAAUUCGAUGCAACGACGAAAAACCUUACCUACCCUUGACAUGCCAACUAACGAAGCAGAGAUGCAUUAGGUGCCCGAAAGGGAAAGUGGACACAGGUGCUGCAUGGCUGUCGUCAGCUCGUGUCGUGAGAUGUUGGGUUAAGUCCCGCAACGAGCGCAACCCUUGCCGAUAGUUGCUACGAAAGGGCACUCUAUCGGGACUGCCGGUGACAAACCGGAGGAAGGUGGGGAUGACGUCAAGUCCUCAUGGCCCUUAUGGGUAGGGCUUCACACGUCAUACAAUGGUCGGUACAGAGGGCUGCCAACCCGCGAGGGGGAGCUAAUCCCACAAAACCGAUCGUAGUCCGGAUUGGAGUCUGCAACUCGACUCCAUGAAGUCAGAAUCGCUAGUAAUCGUGGAUCAGCAUGUCGCGGUAGAAUACGUUCCCGGGUCUU